rnacentral:tRNA from 1 species
GGCUUUAUAGUCAAAAUUAUGAUUUUAGACUGCAAUUCUAAAGUUAGGAUUAAAAUUACUCCUUAAAGCUU